rnacentral:misc_RNA from 1 species
UUUCCGUAGGUGAACCUGCGGAAGGAUCAUUACAGAGUUCAUGUUCGAAAGGGUAGAUCUCCCACUCUUGUGCAUUUUUACUUUGUUGCUUUGGCGUGUGCAUGCUCGCCAGAGAAUACUAAAACUCUUUUUUUUAAUGUUGUCUGUGAACAAUAUAAUAGUUAAAGCAUUCAAAAACGGACUUCUUGGUUCUGGUAUCGAUGCAGAACGCAGCAGAAAGGAAGAGCACACGCCGGAAAUCCAGCCACGGAACGCCAUUCAGUACGCCGUAUCCC